GUGGAGGAAGAAGGUCUGCGGAUUGUAAACUCCUGUUGAUGGGGAAGAUAAUGACGGUACCCAACAAGGAAGGGACGGCUAACUACGUGCCAGCAGCCGCGGUAAAACGUAGGUCACAAGCGUGGUCCGGAAUGACUGGGUGUAAAGGGAGCGCAGGCGGGAAGACAAGUUGGAAGUGAAAUCUAUGGGCUCAACCCAUAAACUGCUGUCAAAACUGGUUUUCUUGAGUAGUGCAGAGGUAGGCGGAAUUCCCGGUGUAGCGGUGGAAUGCGUAGAUAUCGGGAGGAACACCAGUGGCGAAGGCGGUCUACUGGGCACCAACUGACGCUGAGGCCUGAAAGUGUGGGUAGCAAACAGGAUUAGAUACCCUGGUAGUCCACACCGUAAACGAUGAUUACUAGGUGGUGGAGGAUUGACCCCCUUCAGUGCCGCAGUUAACACAAUAAGGAAUCCACCUGGGGAGUACGACCGCAAGGUUGAAACUCAAAGGAAUUGACGGGGGCCCGGACAAGCAGUGGAGU
rnacentral:rRNA from 1 species